UCUCUGUGCUGCUGUUGCUGAGGAUCUUCACAACAUGAAGUGGAGUGACUGCUGGCUUCCACAUCUCCUGCAGCAGAGCCCCGUGACUCUCCCAGGCUCAGGUUUCCUGUGGUCAGCCAGGAUUACCUCAUGGUCCUGAGUCAUCUUCAGCUCUUCUGCCUCCAGGAGCAGAGCCAUGUCCAUCACCAAACAGCCUUGCUAAAGUAGAGCCUGAUUUGCUUAGAACAAAGACAAGGCAGAGAAAACGAACCUACGACAAAAAACAGAUCUAUUUGAGUCUAUCUGCAUGCCUCCCACUGAGGCUGACUGUGCUGGCUGCUUCUCCAGAUUCCCUCGGCAAAGCCCCUUCCCGCAUAGUCCUGUGCCCAGUAGCAGCUCAUGACAGCUGCCUGCUCCCUCCUGGGAACACCUUCUUAGCUGUUCGCUGAUCUCUGGAUUUUCAAGCUUCUAAACUGGCAAAACAAAGCCUGAAGCUUUUCACUUGAACCGAAUAUAGGAUGCUCAAAGGAAUCAGCUUUUCAGUGCCUGCUGGGAUGUUCUUGUCUGGAAAGUCACUGUGCAGACUGACAUGUUUUCUUCUUCCCACAGUCCUGCCUAAUUAGAGCAAUGCUGGCUAGCCAGGAAGCAUUCUCCUACCCUUCCAGAAGUCAAACAGAUUAGCUUGAUUUCCAAGGGUACAUUUACAUUGCAGAGAACAUGAUGCAGAGAUCCCUAGCACUGAGCUGAUUUGGCAAGUCCACACAGCACAGCAAAGUACUGUGCAGAUAUGCCAAGUGGGACUGAGAGGCAGAAUAAUCAUGUUCAGCUGGCACAGCACUCAGGGCUAUAUUGCUUCUGUUUCAGUGCUGGCUUGCAAGGAGCCUCUGCACUGUUUCCCAGUUCUUCAGGCUGUGGGAGUGAAUUGUGGCACACCAGCCUAGAUGUCUUCAUGCACACCCUAAGUUGCUGAUCAGAUUCAUAGAUUAUUACAUUGCAACUCCGCUCCAUCAUAACCUCUGUCUUUUAAUCAAUGAGCAAAUGUUCCUUAGUAUGAUCCAUUUCACCUUCAUUUUGUUAUAUUUCUGGUGUGAGACACUUUGAACCUCUGCUUUGAUGCAAUUAUUUUUUUAAACCUAUACUUAAGAAAGUCAUAUAAGCAUUCAGUUGCCUGCCCUUACCCUGAUCUCUAUCUUCCCUCCAAUGUGUCCCAAAGCCUUUGUGAAAAAUAGCUACAAAAAAUAUAUUUUCCUAAGAUAGAAUUAUGAUUUGAAACUGGAUAUAUGAUUAACAGCUUUGGCAUCAGGCUAUAUCAGUUACCCUAAAUUCAAGAAACCACUCCUUCUAGCAGGUCCUAGCAGUGCAAAGAACAGCCAGCAUGAGAAAAUUUGCCAUCUUGCAAAGUUUUUGUAGUACUGACUGUGUUCUUGAAAAGCAGCCAGCACUCCAUCCCAUCCACUUGUAAAUGUUCUGCAGUUAUUCUCUUAAUAACUCAAGGUUGAUGGAUGAGUGUAAGGUUGGGCAGCUUUGUUUGAUAGCCUAGGGGAGAGAGGGGGAGGGAAAGAAACAAGUAUCAGCAAAUAGAUUGUGCAACAGACAAAUAAAGAGGGUUACACAAUACACUCUAUAUUUUAAAUAAGCCUUCUGGAAUGCUGUCAUUGCCACCAAUUGAUGUUGUUUAGAAGAAUUCAUCAGUUAAUGCUGCUACAAUCCUACCAAUAAUUUCAUUUGAAGAGAGACUAAUCAUUGCCCCCUGCUAGUGUUUAAAGGAGUGUCAACAAUGUCGAACAAUAUUUUCAACAAGUUGCAUUUUCUAAAGAGAAAGAUUCCCUUCUAAAGAGAGAUAUUCCCUUCUCCCUUCUCAGUUUGAGCAGAAUCUCAGGAGAACAGGAGAUUUCAAACAAGAGGUGGGAGACUUGAAAUUUUUCCGCAACUCAAAGUCACUUUACUUGAGAUUCAUACAAAGUUUUUGUUAGUUGUUCAGUUCAGUGAUUUUCAACCCGCUUAGAGACAUGGAACAAAAAGUUCCAUCUCCAAAAUUUUCACAUUAGGUAUGUGAGAAAUGCAAUCACUAUGCCAGUGACUUAAAUUUGGUAGAAACAGAGAUUGCCCCUCAACUUGGUGAAUACUGCCAUUGUCAAGAUUGUCAAAGUUCAUUUUAAACCUGUUAUGAAUUCUUCUAGCAAAUAUCAAUUAAUUACCUACCUCCUUCUUGAAGAAAAAGAUGUAAGUCCUUUCUUUUUCACCUCCUGCCACCUCUAAUCCAUUUCUGCUCCCAUUCUCCCUCCUUGCAGAUCCAUCUGCCUCCCCCUGUGAUCAAUAGUCAACAUAACAUAAAAGUAAUGAAAACA